rnacentral:rRNA from 1 species
AACGAACGCUGGCGGCAGGCUUAACACAUGCAAGUCGAACGGUUGUAGCAAUACAGCAGUGGCGCACGGGUGAGUAACGCGUGGAUAUCUGCCUUUUGGUUCGGAAUAACUCCGGGAAACUGGAGCUAAUACCGGAUGGUUCCUUCGGGAUAAAGAUUUAUCGCCAAAAGAUGAGUCCGCGUACGAUUAGCUAGUUGGUGAGGUAAUGGCUCACCAAGGCGACGAUCGUUAGCUGGUCUGAGAGGACGAUCAGCCACACUGGGACUGAGACACGGCCCAGACUCCUACGGGAGGCAGCAGUGGGGAAUAUUGGACAAUGGGGGCAACCCUGAUCCAGCCAUGCCGCGUGAGUGAUGAAGGCCUUCGGUUGUAAGCUCUUUGGUCGGGGACGGAUGAUGACGGUACCCGCAGAUAAGCCCCGGCUAACUUCGUGCCAGCAGCCGCGGUAAU